rnacentral:rRNA from 1 species
UACGUAGGGGGCAAGCGUUGUCCGGAAUUAUUGGGCGUAAAGCGCGCGCAGGCGGCUAUGUAAGUCUCAUGUUUAAACCCAAGGCUCAACCUUGGGACGCAUGGGAAACUGCGUAGCUUGAGUGUAGGAGAGGAAAGUGGAAUUCCACGUGUAGCGGUGAAAUGCGUAGAGAUGUGGAGGAACACCAGUGGCGAAGGCGACUUUCUGGCCUAUAACUGACGCUGAGGCGCGAAAGCGUGGGGAGCAAACAGG